rnacentral:rRNA from 1 species
GAUGAACGCUGGCGGCGUGCCUAAUACAUGCAAGUCGAGCGAAUGGAUUAAGAGCUUGCUCUUAUGAAGUUAGCGGCGGACGGGUGAGUAACACGUGGGUAACCUGCCCAUAAGACUGGGAUAACUCCGGGAAACCGGGGCUAAUACCGGAUAACAUUUUGAACCGCAUGGUUCGAAAUUGAAAGGCGGCUUCGGCUGUCACUUAUGGAUGGACCCGCGUCGCAUUAGCUAGUUGGUGAGGUAACGGCUCACCAAGGCAACGAUGCGUAGGCGACAUGAGAGGGUGAUCGGCCACACUGGGACUGAGACACGGCCCAGACUCCUACGGGAGGCAGCAGUAGGGAAUCUUCCGCAAUGGACGAAAGUCUGACGGAGCAACGCCGCGUGAGUGAUGAAGGCUUUCGGGUCGUAAAACUCUGUUGUUAGGGAAGAACAAGUGCUAGUUGAAUAAGCUGGCACCUUGACGGUACCUAACCAGAAAGCCACGGCUAACUACGUGCCAGCAGCCGCCGUAA